rnacentral:rRNA from 1 species
GAUGAACGCUAGCUACAGGCUUAACACAUGCAAGUCGCGGGGCAGCAUGGGGGUUGCUUGCAAUCCCCGAUGGCGACCGGCGCACGGGUGAGUAACGCGUAUCCAACCUGCCCUUCACCACGGGAUAACCCGGCGAAAGUCGGACUAAUACCGUAUGUUGUCCAUUGACGGCAUCCGAUUUGGACGAAAGGUUUGGCGGUGAAGGAUGGGGAUGCGUCCGAUUAGCUGGACGGCGGGGUGACGGCCCACCGUGGCGACGAUCGGUAGGGGUUCUGAGAGGAAGGUCCCCCACACUGGAACUGAGACACGGUCCAGACUCCUACGGGAGGCAGCAGUGAGGAAUAUUGGUCAAUGGGCGUAAGCCUGAGCCAGCCAAGUAGCGUGCAGGAGGACGGCCCUAUGGGUUGUAAACUGCUUUUAUGCGGGGAUAAAGUGGCCCACGUGUGGGUUUUUGCAGGUACCGCAUGAAUAAGGACCGGCUAAUUCCGUG